rnacentral:rRNA from 1 species
UUCAGAGGCCCCGAGCGUUAAUCGGAGUUACUGGGCUUAAAGGGUGCGUAGGCCGGCCCGCAAGUGCUUUGUGAAAUCCCACGGCUCAACCGUGGAAUAGCUUGGCAUACUGCGGGCCUUGAGGUCGGUAGAGGUCGCUGGAACUGUAGGUGUAGCGGUGAAAUGCGUAGAUAUCUACAGGAACGCCAAAGGUGAAGACAGGCGACUGGGCCGAUUCUGACGCUGAGGCACGAAAGCGUGGGGAGCAAACGGG